CGCCGCCGCCACUGGAUCACUAUCCCUAUGUUGAGCUUUCUGCAACUAAAGUUGCAGGCUCGACACUAUGAUAACUAUUUGUGCAUAAAUACCAUGUAAAGAAUUUAGUGCACAAAAUAUUGUAGAUAACUUCUGAACUAAAUUUCUAUUAUGAAGCUUGUGCUGAAAUAUUGAAACCCAUUGUAAUUAAUUGCACAAUUAAAUUUUAGGAUUGAAAAGUAAAUGAAUUUAACUAGAAAAUUAAUCGAUGAAAUAUUUUUAAACACCUCCAAACAUUACAAAAACAAUAUUUCACUUCAACAGUAAAAUGUAAAACUUCCUUAAAAAUGACAUCAAAAUUGCACUUUUUUUAACAGAUGAUAAGUGUAUUUCUUGAUUAGAACAAUAAACAUAUGAAAUGAUUCACUUUUGUGAGCAUGCUUUAUAUGUGAACACUUUUAUUCUGAAAUAUCAAUAUUUUGAUGGCACAAAUGUAGACAUGUACUUUUAUGUUAGAGCUAAUGUCCAAAUACUUUAAGAGUAAGGCAUGGUUUGGCUUUCUUGCUUUGUUUGCAUAAAUGUUUGCUCAAGCAUUGUAAUAAAGAUAAACUGCUGCAAACAAUAUAGAUAAGCAUAGUUAAACCUGUAUAUAUUAUGUUAAAAUUUGAUUGAGCAUUAUCCCAAAUACAAUUGAACAAUAUACAAACAAAGCAAGCCAGCUAGACAUGUACACCUUACAGUCCUUCCAUACACCAAAUAAAAAGACCUAUUGCUUAUAGUAUCUGAGUUAUGGACUUGCAUUUAUUAUUGGGAUUGUUAAAUAUUGAACAAAAAGUGAAGAUUUAAUAUUGCUGCAAUAAUACUAACAAAACUAACAAAAUGUAAGCUUUCAUUUUUGAAAUGGUCAGAUUCUUAUUUAAAAUUUAUCAACUGGGUAUUAGGUCAUAGUAUAGUAUGUGGAAUGUUUAGAAGUCAAUUGUAAUAUGUAAAGUAUGAUUUUAUGGUGUCAGUGAUCAGUUGUUCAAUGAAUUAUAGAAAAAAAAAGUGAAAGUAAAGGCUAUCUUUUCAUUCUCUUAAAAUAUAAGUUCACUGAUUUUUACUUGAAAAAAAUAAAAUUUAACAACCAAUACAAUGUUUGAUUUUCAUAAAUACAAGUAUAAAUAAUAUAAAAAAACUAAACAAUAGAAUGUAGUUGACAAC
rnacentral:lncRNA from 1 species